rnacentral:lncRNA from 1 species
GGUACUACAUGGUUAAUAAGUGCAAAUGCACACAAGCAGGCACAACACUCUUCCGUACUGGAUUUGACUCAGUUGACCACAAUAGAUAUCAUAAUUAGGGCCGAUAAUCGCUGUCUUGUUAAUCAAGGUCGACCGCUUCCCCCAUUUUCUUCCAUCAAUUUCUCAUACGCUUGGGAAUUGGGAUCCCUCUUUUUAUUUUCACCCUCGCCUGGGUAUUAUAUAUAUAUAUAUAUGCAAUUUCUCUCCCAUGGCAGCUAUGAUCAAGUAUUUCUUCACAAUCCUGUUCUUGAUCAGUUUUGUUAGCAGAGGUAAGAAUUUGUAGGUCCCGAGAUCAGACACUAGCUGUUUUGGAAUUAUAUAUUUUUGAAACUAGUAGUAUCGAUCCUAUAUAUGCAACAUUCAUUCCUCAAAUUGAACCAAUAACUUGUAGCACAUUUUCUCAUAAACAUUUGCAGGGUGUUGCCAAUGUUCUUUCAGAAUCAUAGGCAUCGGCACAGCCCCAACCGGCAGAGAAAUUAAUACAAGGAACACACAGUCAGGCAUAACGGUAGCCUGCGCCGAAUUUCAAUCGGCCGAGAAAGCUCUUCAUUAAGGCAGCUGACAGCUGCCUUGGUCGACCCCAUACCUCCAUUUGCUUCCGUCCAAUUUUCAUAUGCUUGGGAGCCACCUUUUCUUCUAGCGCCUCAAUCCUCUCUAGUUCAAUGUUGAGUGUUUGAAAUAAAGUUAAUUAUUUGAUUUUUCAUGGUCUAAUUUAAUUUAAUGGUGAUGUUAGAUUGCUCUUGUAGAAAAUAAUUUAAUUUAAUUUAUGUAGAUAUGAGAUAGAAAAUAAUUAAGAAAGAUACCACACUAAUUUAUUAUUAUAUAUUAUCGUUUAGAAUUUCAUAUUAUUCUUUCAUUUCCG